rnacentral:rRNA from 1 species
CCUACGGGAGGCAGCAGUGAGGAAUAUUGGACAAUGGACGAGAGUCUGAACCAGCGAAGCAGCGUGAAGGAUGACUGCCCUCUGGGUUGUAAACUUCUUUUAUAUGGGAAUAAAAUAUUCCACGUGUGGGAUUUUGUAUGUACCAUAUGAAUACGGAUCGGCUAACUCCGUGCCAGCAGCCGCGGUAAUACGGAGGAUCCGAGCGUUAUCCGGAUUUAUUGGGUUGAAAGGGAGCGUAGGUGGAUUGUUAAGUCAGUUGUGAAAGUUUGGGGCUCAACCGUAAAAUUGCAGUUGAAACUGGCAGUCGUGAGUACAGUAGAGGUGGGCGGAAUUCGUGGUGUAGCGGUGAAAUGCUUAGAUAUCACGAAGAACACCGAUUGCGAAGGCAGUUCACUGGACUGCAACUGACACUGAGGCUCGAAAGUGUGGGUAUCAAACAGGAUUAGAUACCCUAGUAGUC